UUUCUGGAUUCUUCUUGAAACUGGUAAGACAUGUUUUAAUUCUCCGUAAUAAAGUAUACUCUUUAGAUUAAUUUACCCUCCCUUCCUCUCCCAUUUCCUUUCCUUAGAACCACAUACUGCUUUUCUUUACAUUAUUUUUUUCAGGUCAACCAUCAUAACCUUUGUGAUACCUUCAGUUCCGGUGUGACACCCACGUAAUCUUUGUGAUACCUGCAGUUCUGAACAAAAAAUCGUCGCAGUGACACUCGUUCUAUUCCUGACAUUGUCGUUGAUUUAUGGGCUAUCGUCGCACCCCAACUCCAAUGGAAGAGUGCAAUCAUUCAAAUUAUCAUAGGAUACAGUUUUUUACUGUCAAUAUAAUGUGUUUAUAAUGCUGUUAAUGUGUUUAAAAUGCUGUGUAUUCAUGCUUGUGCAUUCGCGCACAUACUUGCUGCACAAGAACUUUGACAAUUUUAAUGUGUUUUGAACUUUGAAACUUGUGCAUUUGCGUUUACCCAUUCGCACAAACCUUGUGUAUAACUUUGUCAUUUGUAUGUCUGUGCAUUUGCACUUACCCACUGUACAGAAUAUUAUAUUUUGUGACGUUUGUGCAUUUGUGCUCACCCACUGCGCAAUGAGCCUAUUGAUGGGCCGUCACGUAUUGUUGUAUUGUUUGAAUUGUUGUGAGGCAGCCCAUUGGUAGCCUAAAGUCACUGCGGCCAGUAACGCCAAACCAUAAUAAAGUAUUUAGUCCU
rnacentral:sRNA from 1 species